UACGGAGGAUGCAAGCGUUAUCCGGAAUGAUUGGGCGUAAAGCGUCCGCAGGUGGCUGUGUAAGUCUGCUGUUAAAGAGUGAAGCUCAACCUCAUAAAAGCAGUGGAAACUACACGGCUAGAGUGCGUUCGGGGCAGAGGGAAUUCCUGGUGUAGCGGUGAAAUGCGUAGAUAUCAGGAAGAACACCGGUGGCGAAAGCGCUCUGCUAGGCCGCAACUGACACUGAGGGACGAAAGCUAGGGGAGCGAAUGGG
rnacentral:rRNA from 1 species